rnacentral:rRNA from 1 species
GACGAACGCUGGCGGCGUGCCUAAUACAUGCAAGUCGAACGAAGCUUUUUUAACUGGUGCUUGUACCGACUUAAACAACUGAGUGGCGAACGGGUGAGUAACACGUGGGUAACCUGCCCCAAAGCGGGGGAUAACAUUUGGAAACAGAUGCUAAUACCGCAUAACCACAGAAACCACAUGGUUUCUGUGUCAAAGAUGGUUUCGGCUAUCACUUUGGGAUGGACCCGCAGCGUAUUAGCUAGUUGGUAAGGUAAUGGCUUACCAAGGCAAUGAUACGUAGCCGAACUGAGAGGUUGAUCGGCCACAUUGGGACUGAGACACGGCCCAAACUCCUACGGGAGGCAGCAGUAGGGAAUCUUCCACAAUGGACGAAAGUCUGAUGGAGCAACGCCGCGUGAGUGAAGAAGGUUUUCGGAUCGUAAAACUCUGUUGUCAGAGAAGAACGUGUGCGAGAGUAACUGUUCGUGCAGUGACGGUAUCUGGCCAGAAAGCCACGGCUAACUACGUGCCAGCCGCCGCCGUAA